rnacentral:rRNA from 1 species
GAUGAACGCUGGCGGCGUGCCUAAUACAUGCAAGUCGAGCGAACAGACGAUGAGCUUGCUCCCUUGACGUUAGCGGCGGACGGGUGAGUAACACGUGGAUAACCUACCUAUAAGACUGGGAGAACUUCGGGAAACCGGAGCUAAUACCGGAUAACAUGUUGAACCGCAUGGUUCAACAGUGAAAGACGGUUUUGCUGUCACUUAUAGAUGGAUCCGCGCCGCAUUAGCUAGUUGGUAAGGUAACGGCUUACCAAGGCAACGAUGCGUAGCCGACCUGAGAGGGUGAUCGGCCACACUGGAACUGAGACACGGUCCAGACUCCUACGGGAGGCAGCAGUAGGGAAUCUUCCGCAAUGGGCGAAAGCCUGACGGAGCAACACCGCGUGAGUGAAGAAGGUCUUCGGAUCGUAAAACUCUGUUAUUAGGGAAGAACAAAUGUGUAAGUAACUAUGCACGUCUUGACGGUACCUAAUCAAAAAGCCACGGCUAACUACGUG